UGGGGAAUAUUGGACAAUGGGGGGCAACCCUGAUCCAGCAAUGCCGCGUGUGUGAAGAAGGUCUUCGGAUUGUAAAGCACUUUCGACGGGGACGAUGAUGACGGUACCCGUAGAAGAAGCCCCGGCUAACUUCGUGCCAGCAGCCGCGGUAAUACGAAGGGGGGCUAGCGUUGCUCGGAAUGACUGGGCGUAAAGGGCGUGUAGGCGGUUUACACAGUCAGAUGUGAAAUCCCCGGGCUUAACCUGGGAGCUGCAUUUGAUACGUGUAGACUAGAGUGUGAGAGAGGGUUGUGGAAUUCCCAGUGUAGAGGUGAAAUUCGUAGAUAUUGGGAAGAACACCGGUGGCGAAGGCGGCAACCUGGCUCAUGACUGACGCUGAGGCGCGAAAGCGUGGGGGAGCAAACAGGAUUAGAUACCCUGGUAGUCCACGCUGUAAACGAUGUGUGCUAGAUGUUGGGUAACUUUGUUAUUCAGUGUCGCAGUUAACGCGUUAAGCACACCGCCUGGGGGAGUACGGCCGCAAGGUUGAAACU
rnacentral:rRNA from 1 species